CUCACCGAAUCAACCAAAAAUAACAUGACCUUGUGUUGAUGAAUACCUUGAAGAACAAAGUCUAUAAAGCGAAAAUACUGGUGAAUCAUUCCAUUUUGGUUCAGUUGACGGGGGCUCAGGGUGGAACACCUGUCAACAAGGGUUUAAAGCAUUCAUUACAAAAAUAUUGACAAUUCUAAGAAAAGAAUGACAUUUCUUACACGUGAAUUCACUAACAACAUCAUCUGUCAUCAUCUGCUCACUCAGAGGAGUAUAAAUAAGGCUCCUUCGUGUAGAACACUUGAUAGUUUGGAGAAUCUCUCUUCAAUUUUGGUCAAGAAGAAGAUCGCACUAAUCAAAGCCAUGUCUGGAAUCAAGGGAAAUCACAGCCACCACAAACAUGAGCAUAGUUCCAUAGUUGAACGUAAGUCAUUAUAUAUUUAUAUAUAUCUCAUUAAGGUAUAAUGAUGAAAAUAAUAAUUCUAAUUAUUUGGCACAAACUUGUAUGUAUCUUUUUUAUAGUAAAUAUUACUUAUCUAACUUUGUUAAUUUUUGUUAAUUGUUAAUUUUAUCUUACUUUGUCUUUGUAUCUAGUACUUAAGCAAAGUAUAGCAAAUCCAGUCUUUGACAAUCUGACAUUUUAUAAACUGUUCCAACGUUUUAAUGACCAUCCCGACUCUGAGUCCAAGACUAACCACUAGACAGCUUAGCUCAUGUACUAAGCCGUGUCCCUACAGUUGUAAUAGAAGAAACAGCUUCACCAGCCUAGACCAAUUUUGGAAAUGCAUGUAAAUAAUUAUUGGAAGAAUAGCUAAUACUUUUAUGUAGCAAAAAAAUAAAUAAAAUUACAAUUAAACCUCUGACUGGUUGCCCGCUUUAUAAAAAAAAGCUACAAUUAAGACAAGCAUCAUAAAAAUACUUUGCUUUUGUUUAAUGGGAUUAUUAAAGUUCCACAGAAAUGGUGAUACUUUUUUCUUUUUAUAAUCUAUUUUGACAUUUAUUAUAUUAAAAUGUAAGAACUGGUUUAUAUAAAUUAUCACUGCAUGUUUUAGUAAUGCGUUAAAGUGAGCUAAAUGUACACUCUGCCCCAAGAGGUUUACUUAUUACACACUUUUUUUUUUUCUUUUUUUUUUAUGAUAUCUUAUUAGCAGAAUAUUUUAAUUAUUAUGACUCUGAUAUGCGAUACACCAUUAUGUAUUCUCAUCCUGUAUUUAAGGCAUUAAAGGGACUCUCUAGUGCCAGGAAAACAUAUUUGUUUUCCUGGCACUGCAGGACCCUGCAGUGCCACUCUACCUCCCACCCCCAAUCCCAUGUUGCUGAAGGGGUUUAUACCCCUUCAGACACUUACCUCAAUCCAGCACCGAUGUCCCUCAGCGCUGGGUCAGGCUCUGCCCAUGCUCCUCCCCGCCAACGUCAGCUGGCGGGGGAGACAUAAUGCGCGGCAUUUACAAAUAUACAAUUUGACACUUUAAGUAGCAAGUCAGAAAAACUGCAGAAUUGCUGAAAAUAUUCCAGAUCAGCCUCUCGCUUCUGAUUACCUUAAUUUUAUAGCCAUGUUUUAUUUUAUUAUUCACUGUAAAUAGCUGUGGAAUAUUUUGACAGUAUAUAAGUGUAUAUAAUUAUUAUUUUGACCUAUAUGUUUCAAUGCUGUUUUCAAUUCACUGGAAUUCACUGCUUAGUAAAUAACCCACCAGCUUCUGUAAGCUCAAACAAUAAAAAUGACACCAGUGCGUUAACAUUUCAAAAGUUCACGAUUAUUAAUUAAUGAUAAUAAAAUGUAUCAGGCGUACUUCCUGAUGUGCAUUAAUAUAAAUCAUGUUUCAGGUGUAUAUAUUUAUCGCAAUUCACAAUGUAAAACAUGCUUCUCACUCAUAUUUUAUUUUGCAGCUUCCCAGAACGUGGAACAGCCGAACCCUCAUUGUGUGACUCCAGGUAUACACAUAUGGUAUAUUUUUUAUUGUAACUGUGUGAAGCUACAGGUGCAAGAUGCAGGUGGUGCCCAAUAAUUUAAUAAUAGCAAUCACUGUUUUCACAUUUCAGUUUCUACACUGCCUCCUGCUGAAAUACUUUUAUUCUUAUUUACUUUCUAACAUUUUUAUAACCAGUUUUAAUUGACUUGAAUAUCUAAUUUUAAUAAGAAUUAAUUAUAUUUAAAAUAAUAACACUGUAUGUACUAUGACCAUGCUCUAUGUAGUUCUUUUGCCAGUUAGUGAAGGACAAAUAUAUUGUGAGGUGCGAUUUGUCAUAUGUUUGUGCCAUAGUACAAAUAAUGGAUAUAAUAUAGAUCACGCAAUUUUAACAAAGACCGAGUUUGGGUAAGGCAGGUAAACCCAUUUGUUCAUGGCUGAAUUUAAUUAGUUUAAUUGGUUGCAAAGUGUUUGUUUUUAGGAUUUACAGACUACCAUCAUAUUUUCAGACAACUGUUUGACAUGUGAAGCACAAAGUUUUUAAGUGUAUUUUUCAUUAACAGCCUGUGUGAAUCCUGUAAUACCAGAGCCAGCCCAGAGCCAACCAGGCCCGUGUCAGCCGGUGGCGCAUGAACGAGCCCCCUGUCAGCCAAGUCAUCCAGCCACUACCCAGACAACCCCAUGGCAUGCCAAGUCAGAAUAUAAGAAAUAAGGACUUUGCCAGAAAAGAAGCCUUCAUGAUAUGAAUGAACCUCUGUGUGAAUAUAGAGCACUAAUUGAAUCAAUGAGCUUUGUAAACUAAUAUAAACUGGCAAAAUGAACCUGAUGAUAAUAAAUUCAAUUGAUUAAUCCA
rnacentral:lncRNA from 1 species